UUAUUAGUUUUUAAACUCAUUAUGGUAGGGAUGUCCUUCCCAGAUGACCUAUGUUUACCCCCAAAGAAAUUCUUUACUUCUGUAGGAGUUCUCAGCAAGUGUUCAGAUAACCUUCAGGAGGCUAAUUUAGCUUUCUGAUUAGGUAUGCUAUUCUCUGCCUCUAAAAUAACAACAGUAUUAUAAAAUUAAAAGUGAUUGAGGAAUGUUUUGAAGUGGUAAAAAAGUAAUUUAACUCUGUUGUAUAAGACCACCACAAUAAUCUGAGAUGGGGGUCUGCUGUGUGUUAAGAUGUCAAUUGAAAGGAAUACAUGAAAAAAACACAAUAUAAAUAAACACUAGAAAUGAUAAAAUAUCAUAUGAAACAAAAUAGUAUAUAUAUAUAUAUAAAGCAUUAGAUAUGUACGAAUAAUCUUUCCCUUAUUUGCACGGAAUUUUCUAUCACAUUAUGUGCCUUGCCUUCUGACAAAUGAUGAAAUAACCACUUGCUCAUUUGCUGCAUGCUCUGACUUAAAUAUACAGGAAAUAUGAAAUGUGUACAGACAUUAAACAGUUAAUGAUUUCUGA